rnacentral:rRNA from 1 species
AUUGAACGCUGGCGGCAGGACUAACACAUGCAAGUCGAACGAAUGGCGGACGGGUGAGUAAUGUCUGGGAAACUGCCUGAUGGAGGGGGAUAACUACUGGAAACGGUAGCUAAUACCGCAUACCAUCGGAUGUGCCCAGAUGUGAUUAGCUAGUAGGUGGGGUAAAGGCUCACCUAGGCUACGAUCCCUAGCUGGUCUGAGAGGAUGACCAGCCACACUGGAACGUGGCCACGGUCCAGUCUCCUACGGGAGGCAGCAGUGGGGAAUUUUGCACAAUGGGCGCAAGCCUGAUGCAGCCAUGCCGCGUGUAUGAAGAAGGCCUUCGGGUUGUAAAGUACUUUCAGCGGGUAGGCGUUACUCGCAGAAGAAGCACCGGCUAACUCCGUGCCAGCAGCCGCGGUAAUUC